rnacentral:rRNA from 1 species
UACGUAGGGGGCUAGCGUUGUCCGGAAUCAUUGGGCGUAAAGCGCGUGUAGGCGGUCCGGUAAGUCCGCUGUGAAAGUCGGGGGCUCAACCCUCGAAUGCCGGUGGAUACUGUCGGGCUAGAGUGCGGAAGAGGCGAGUGGAAUUCCUGGUGUAGCGGUGAAAUGCGUAGAUAUCGGGAGGAACACCAGUGGCGAAAGCGGCUACCUGGGCCAUUCUUGACGCUGAGGCGCGAAAGCUAGGGGAGCAAACGGG